rnacentral:rRNA from 1 species
AGAAUGAACGCUGGCGGCGUGCUUUACACAUGCAAGUCGAGCGAGGCGGGUAGCAAUACCCAGUCGAGCGGCGAACGGGUGAGUAACACGUGGAUCAUCUACCUUCAGGUGGGGGAUAACCCGGGGAAACUCGGGCUAAUACCGCAUAACAUCGUGAGAUCAAAGGGGCGCAAGUCCCGCCAGAAGAGGAGUCCGCGUUCGAUUAGCUAGUUGGUAGGUAAUGGCCUACAAGGCGACGAUCGAUAGCCGGCCUGAGAGGGUGAUCGGCCACACUGGAACUGAGACACGGUCCAGACUCCUACGGGAGGCAGCAGUGGGGAAUUUGCGCAAUGGGCUAACGCCUGACGCAGCAACGCCGCGUGGAGGAUGAAGGUCUUUGGAUUGGUAAACUCCUGUCAGCAGGAAAAAGGACACGACCUCAUACGUCGUGAACUUGAUUGUACCUGCAGAGGAACGCCCGGCUAACUCUGUCGCCAGCACGCCGACGGUAAUC